rnacentral:lncRNA from 1 species
GUAACGACCCGAAAAUCAGGCCGCCACCGGCGCUAGGAUCCAGAUCAGCUUAAGGCCGCCGGGACCCGUAGCAAGCCAAACAUACAUCCUGUGAACCUGUUUAAUCCCAUACAUGGUCAACAGCAUACAUAAAAAUUAAAACUUUUCUUUCAUUCAAACAUUUCUUUGCCAAGCCUAGCCUGUGCAUGCACAAACAUAACAUAAACCUCUCAUUGGAGUCCUCAUCAAAUAUUCCAAUGGGGUAACAUAACAUAACAUAGG